UACAGAGGUCUCAAGCGUUGUUCGGAUUCAUUGGGCGUAAAGGGUGCGUAGGCGGCGCGGUAAGUCGGGUGUGAAAUCUCGGAGCUUAACUCCGAAACUGCAUUCGAUACUGCCGUGCUUGAGGACUGGAGAGGAGACUGGAAUUUACGGUGUAGCGGUGAAAUGCGUAGAUAUCGUAAGGAAGACCAGUAGCGAAGGCGGGUCUCUGGACAGUUCCUGACGCUGAGGCACGAAGGUCAGGGAGCAAACGGG
rnacentral:rRNA from 1 species